rnacentral:rRNA from 1 species
GGGUUGUGAGGUUAAGCGACUAAGCGUACACGGUGGAUGCCCUGGCAGUCAGAGGCGAUGAAGGGCGUGCUAAUCUGCGAUAAGCGCCGGUAAGGUGAUAUGAACCGUUAUAACCGGCGAUACCCGAAUGGGGAAACCCAGUGUGAUUCGUCACACUAUCAUUAACUGAAUCCAUAGGUUAAUGAGGCGAACCGGGGGAACUGAAACAUCUAAGUACCCCGAGGAAAAGAAAUCAACCGAGAUUCCCCCAGUAGCGGCGAGCGAACGGGGAGGAGCCCAGAGCCUGAAUCAGCAUGUGUGUUAGUGGAAGCGUCUGGAAAGGCGCGCGAUACAGGGUGACAGCCCCGUACACAAAAGCGCAUGUGCUGUGAGCUCGAUGAGUAGGGCGGGACACGUGGUAUCCUGUCUGAAUAUGGGGGGACCAUCCUCCAAGGCUAAAUACUCCUGACUGACCGAUAGUGAACCAGUACCGUGAGGGAAAGGCGAAAAGAACCCCGGCGAGGGGAGUGAAAAAGAACCUGAAACCGUGUACGUACAAGCAGUGGGAGCNNGUGACUGCGUACCUUUUGUAUAAUGGGUCAGCGACUUAUAUUCUGUAGCAAGGUUAACCGAAUAGGGGAGCCGGAGGGAAACCGAGUCUUAAUUGGGCGUUAAGUUGCAGGGUAUAGACCCGAAACCCGGUGAUCUAGCCAUGGGCAGGUUGAAGGUUGGGUAACACUAACUGGAGGACCGAACCGACUAAUGUUGAAAAAUUAGCGGAUGACCUGUGGCUGGGGGUGAAAGGCCAAUCAAACCGGGAGAUAGCUGGUUCUCCCCGAAAGCUAUUUAGGUAGCGCCUCGUGAAUUCAUCUCCGGGGGUAGAGCACUGUUUCGGCUAGGGGGCCAUCCCGGCUUACCAACCCGAUGCAAACUGCGAAUACCGGAGAAUGUUAUCACGGGAGACACACGGCGGGUGCUAACGUCCGUCGUGAAGAGGGAAACAACCCAGACCGCCAGCUAAGGUCCCAAAGUCAUGGUUAAGUGGGAAACGAUGUGGGAAGGCCCAGACAGCCAGGAUGUUGGCUUAGAAGCAGCCAUCAUUUAAAGAAAGCGUAAUAGCUCACUGGUCGAGUCGGCCUGCGCGGAAGAUGUAACGGGGCUAAACCAUGCACCGAAGCUGCGGCAGCGACGCUUAUGCGUUGUUGGGUAGGGGAGCGUUCUGUAAGCCUGUGAAGGUGUGUCGUGAGGCAUGCUGGAGGUAUCAGAAGUGCGAAUGCUGACAUAAGUAACGAUAAAGCGGGUGAAAAGCCCGCUCGCCGGAAGACCAAGGGUUCCUGUCCAACGUUAAUCGGGGCAGGGUGAGUCGACCCCUAAGGCGAGGCCGAAAGGCGUAGUCGAUGGGAAACGGGUUAAUAUUCCCGUACUUGGUGUUACUGCGAAGGGGGGACGGAGAAGGCUAUGUUGGCCGGGCGACGGUUGUCCCGGUUUAAGCGUGUAGGUGUGUGUUCCAGGUAAAUCCGGUUCACUUUAACACUGAGGCGUGAUGACGAGGCACUACGGUGCUGAAGUAACAAAUGCCCUGCUUCCAGGAAAAGCCUCUAAGCAUCAGGUAACAUCAAAUCGUACCCCAAACCGACACAGGUGGUCAGGUAGAGAAUACCAAGGCGCUUGAGAGAACUCGGGUGAAGGAACUAGGCAAAAUGGUGCCGUAACUUCGGGAGAAGGCACGCUGACACGUAGGUGAAGUGAUUUACUCAUGGAGCUGAAGUCAGUCGAAGAUACCAGCUGGCUGCAACUGUUUAUUAAAAACACAGCACUGUGCAAACACGAAAGUGGACGUAUACGGUGUGACGCCUGCCCGGUGCCGGAAGGUUAAUUGAUGGGGUCAGCGCAAGCGAAGCUCCUGAUCGAAGCCCCGGUAAACGGCGGCCGUAACUAUAACGGUCCUAAGGUAGCGAAAUUCCUUGUCGGGUAAGUUCCGACCUGCACGAAUGGCGUAAUGAUGGCCAGGCUGUCUCCACCCGAGACUCAGUGAAAUUGAACUCGCUGUGAAGAUGCAGUGUACCCGCGGCAAGACGGAAAGACCCCGUGAACCUUUACUAUAGCUUGACACUGAACAUUGAGCCUUGAUGUGUAGGAUAGGUGGGAGGCUUUGAAGUGUGGACGCCAGUCUGCAUGGAGCCGACCUUGAAAUACCACCCUUUAAUGUUUGAUGUUCUAACGUGGACCCGUGAUCCGGGUUGCGGACAGUGUCUGGUGGGUAGUUUGACUGGGGCGGUCUCCUCCUAAAGAGUAACGGAGGAGCACGAAGGUUGGCUAAUCCUGGUCGGACAUCAGGAGGUUAGUGCAAUGGCAUAAGCCAGCUUGACUGCGAGCGUGACGGCGCGAGCAGGUGCGAAAGCAGGUCAUAGUGAUCCGGUGGUUCUGAAUGGAAGGGCCAUCGCUCAACGGAUAAAAGGUACUCCGGGGAUAACAGGCUGAUACCGCCCAAGAGUUCAUAUCGACGGCGGUGUUUGGCACCUCGAUGUCGGCUCAUCACAUCCUGGGGCUGAAGUAGGUCCCAAGGGUAUGGCUGUUCGCCAUUUAAAGUGGUACGCGAGCUGGGUUUAGAACGUCGUGAGACAGUUCGGUCCCUAUCUGCCGUGGGCGCUGGAGAACUGAGGGGGGCUGCUCCUAGUACGAGAGGACCGGAGUGGACGCAUCACUGGUGUUCGGGUUGUCAUGCCAAUGGCACUGCCCGGUAGCUAAAUGCGGAAGAGAUAAGUGCUGAAAGCAUCUAAGCACGAAACUUGCCCCGAGAUGAGUUCUCCCUGAGACUUAAGGUCUCCUGAAGGAACGUUGAAGACGACGACGUUGAUAGGCCGGGUGUGUAAGCGCAGCGAUGCGUUGAGCUAACCGGUACUAAUGAACCGUGAGGCUUAACCUUACAACGCCGAAG